rnacentral:lncRNA from 1 species
AUCUCAGCCAUCAUAAAGCCAGUCUAACAUGACUUGCAUAUUUAGCAUGUUAACUGCUUCAUUUGGGGAGCUUCAAUAGGUAUUGAGGGAUAAGAAAAAAAGAACCAUUUUGGAAAAACUCAGGCUGCACCUGCACACAGAUAAGCAAUUUGUAUAAUUAGUGAAAUCCUAGGGAAAAAAAAAAGGUAUCUCCCUUUCAGGCAUAUAUGUGGUGGAAAUAUGCACAGGGCUGAGGAUGGCUUAUCAAAAACAACCCACUUUAUACAAGGAAAAUAAGUGGCACUGUGUGCUUGCCUGGAGGCAUACCCACAGCUACAUAAGAUAAGGGGAGUUGCACACACAGGUUUACUGAUAAGAGAAGUUACUCAAACUGCUACAGACAUGAGAGGAGUUUCUUAUAAAAGCUUUCGAAUUCAGAUGUAACCCAGCAAUGCACUCAGACUCCUCUCUGCUGUGGAGAGCUUUUUUUUUUUUUUUUCAUAUUAAACUUUCACUCCAACUUUAUCUUUGUGUUUACAAUUCUUAAUUUUUUUGUCUUGGAUAAAGAACAAAAAACCUGGAGUACUUCUUCAGACAACAAGAAACUUCCAAAUUAAGGUGCAUUGGCAAGAAUGCAACAUAUUUUGAUCCAUUGGCUUGGAAGGAGGGAAUUCAUCAGAAGGGAGUGAAGACUGAUUUUGCAGAGCCAAUAAAGGCCCCUGGGGAAACUGGCCUCAUAUCUUGUCAUGAAGAUUUUAUACAGGUUUCCUAACCUGUGUGCUCACUGCUGCAAAGAAGAACAAGCACACAGGCAAAAAGUUUUCCCAGCAAGAAUGCCAGGGUGAAAGGAAAGAUCAAUUGGACCAGAGCACAAGUGCUGCUCCAGUUACUUGGCAGAGUACCUAAUAGUGAUCCACCACAAUACCACCAUAUAUCUGUUUGGGAAUAAACAAGGGCAAGUUGACUGCUUAAGAGUGAUGACAUGCAACUCAGUCUCUUGCAACACCACCUGAGAAAAGGAAGCACUAGCAGGAAGAACAAAUUGAUGGAGAGGAAAAGUGAUGAAUACAGAUAAGAAGCACAGCUGGUGGAGGCUCAUGUGCCAGUUUACUGGGCCUCAGGACAUUCUCCUCUAGAAGGAGGAGACAGCAUGACCCCCACUUUCUUUUAUUUUAUUAUAAUUUAAGUUUUAGGGUACAUGAGCACAAUGUGCAGGUUAGUUACAUAUGUAUACAUGUGCCAUGCUGGUGUGCUACAGCCAUUAACUCAUCAUUUAGCAUUAGGUAUAUCUCCUAAUGCUAUCCCUCCCCCCUACCCCUACCCCACAACAGCCCCCAGAGUGUGAUGUUCCCCUUCCUGUGUCCAUGUGUUCUCAUUGUUCAAUUCACACCUAUGAGUGAGAAUAUGUGGUGUUUGGUUUUUUGUCCUUGUGAUAGUUUACUGAGAAUGAUGAUUUCCAAUUUCAUCCAUGUCCCUACAAAGGACAUGAACUCAUCAUUUUUUAUGGCUGCAUAAUAUCCCAUGGUGUGUAUGUGCCCCAUUUUCUUAAUCCAGUCUAUCAUUGUUGGGCAUUUGGGUUGGUUCCAAGUCUUUGCUAUUGUGAAUAGUGCCGCAAUAAAUGUACGUGUGCAUAUGUCUUUAUAGCAGCAUGAUUUAUAGUCCUUUGGGUAUAUACCCAGUAAUGGGAUGGCUGGGUCAAAUGGUAUUUCUAGUUCUAGAUCCCUGAGAAAUCACCAAACUGACUUCGACAAUGGUUGAACUAGUUUACAGUCCCACCAACAGUGUUAGUCCAUUUACAUUUAAAGUUAAUAUUAUUAUGUGUGAAUUUGAUCCUGUCAUUAUGAUGUUAGCUGGUUAUUUUGCUCGUUAGUUGAUGCAGUUUCUUCCUAGCUUUGAAGGUCUUUACAAUUUGGCAUGGUUUUGCAGUGGCUGAUACCGGUUUUUCCUUUCCAUGUUUAGUGCUUCCUUCAGGAGCUCUUUUAGAGCAGUAAUCUCUCAGCAUUUGCUUGUCUGUAAAGUAUUUUAUUUCUCCUUCACUUAAGAAGCUUAGUUUGGCUGGAUAUGAAAUUCUGGAUUGAAAAUUCUUUUCUUUAAGAAUGUUGAAUAUUGGCCCCCACUCUCUUCUGGCUUGCAGAGUUUCUGCCAAGACAUCAGCUGUUAGUCUGAUGGGCUUCCCUUUGUGGGUAACCUGACCUUUCUCUCUGGCUGCCCUUAACAUUUUUUCCAUCAUGUCAACUUUGGUGAAUCUGACAAUUAUGUGUCUUGGAGUUGCUCUUCUUCAGGAGUAUCUUCAUGGCAUUCUCUGUAUUUCCUGAAUCUGAAUGUUGGCCUACCUUGCUAGAUUGGCGAAGUUCUCCUGCAGAGUGUUUUCCAACUUGGUUCCAUUCUCCGCAUCACUUUCAGGUACACCAAUGAGACGUAGAUUUGGUCUUUUCACAUAGUCCCAUAUUUCUUGGAGGCUUUGUUCGUUUCUUUGUAUUCUUUUUUCUCUAAACUUCCCUUCUUGCUUCAUUUCAUUCAUUUCAUCUUCCAUCACUGAUACCCUUUCUUCCAGUUGAUUGCAUCAGCUCCUGAGGCUUCCUCAUUCUUCACGUAGUUCUCAAGCCUUGGCUUUCAGCUCCAUCAGCUCUUUUAAGCACUUCUCUGUAUUGGUUAUUCUAGUUAUACAUUCGUCUAAAUUUUUUUCAAAGUUUUCAACUUCUUUGCCUUUGAUUUGAAUUUCCUCCUGUAGCUCGAAGUAGUUUGAUCGUCUGAAGCCUUCUUCUCUCAACUCGUCAAAAUCAUUCUCCAUCCAGCUUUGUUCCAUUGCUGGUGAAGAAUUGCGUUCCUUUGGAGGAGGAGAGGCGCUCUGCUUUUUAGAGUUUCCAGUUUUUCUGCUGUGUUUUUUCCCCAUCUUCGUGGGUUUAACUACUUUUGGUCUUUGAUGAUGGUGAUGUACAGAUGGGUUUUUGGUGUGGAUGUCCUUUCUGUUUGUUAGUUUUCCUUCUAACAGACAGGACCCUCAGCUGCAGGUCUGUUGGAGUUUUCUAGAGGACCACUCCAGAUCCCGUUUGCCUGGGUAUCAGCAGCGGUGGCUGCAGAACAGCAGAUUUUCAUGAACCACGAAUGCUGCUGUCUGAUGGCUCCUCUGGAAGUUUUGUCUCAGAGGAGUACCUGGCCAUGUGAGGUGUCAGUCUGCCCCUACUGGGGGGGUGCCCCCCAGUUAGGCUGCUCGGGACCCCCAAUUUGUUUGUGUAUCUCAGGGUGAGUUUGUGCCAUUUUCUGUUAGCCUUAUUGGUCUCUGUGUCUGUGGUGCACUUCAUUCAUCAGCGUCUGUGUUUGUUUGCAUUUUUUACUUGUCUCUCCAUCUAUUUCUCUGAUUUUGUUACAUUUUACAUUUUAAGUUUCAUUAUAUUUUCCAUUCACAUAUUAUACAUGCACAACUAUAUGGCAGACCAUGUUAUUUUAAAACAUGCAUACAAUAUACCAAAUAAUGGUAUUUAUUCAUCUCCUCUAAUGUUCCUCGUGAUUAGAACCCUAGGAAUUCUCUCUUCUAUUUAGAAAUAUAUAAUGCAUUGUUAUUAAAAAUAGUGACCCUGCUGUGCAAUGGAAUACCAUUGCUUCUUUUUUUUCAAUUUAACUACUUUUUUUGUAUUUAUUUACCAACUUCUUCCUAUCCCUACAUUUCUAAUUCUUUCUAGACCCCCAUAACCACUAUUCUUCCCUAUAAUUCUAUGAGAAAAUUUUUUAGAUUCCACAUAUAGGUCAGAUAAUGUGUUAUUUUUAUUCCUACACCUAGGUUAUUUUGCUUAGUUACAUGUAAAGGAAUAUACAUGGUAUGUGGCAUGGCAAAUGAUAAAAGUUCAUUUUUAAUAGAUAUAUACUAUUUCAUUGUGUGUGUGUGUACAUAUACCACAUUUUAAAUUCAUUUGUCUGUUUAUGAACAUCCAGGUUUAAUAUUGUAUUGUUCAUGGUGAAUAGUGCUGUAAUAAACAAAAAAGAGCAAAUAUUUAUUUGACAUGCUAAUUUUCUUUCCCUUGCCUACAUACUCAGUGGUGCAGAUUGUUCAGUCAUGUGGAAACUUUCAUGUAAAUUUUUUAGAGAUCUACAGAAUGUCUUCCAUACUGAUUCUACUAAUUUACAUUCCAUCCAAGAGGAUGUUUUGUGCAGUUCCCCACUUUUCUUUUCUCCACAUCCCUGGCAAUACUUGUUAUUCUUUUGCAAUUUUUAGUUAUAUCCAUUAUUAUUCUAAUAGAUUCACUGAGCUGAAAGGACUUGUCAUAUUUUCUUAUGGGUUUUCCUGGCAUUUCUCCAAUAAAAAUUAUGUUGAACUUUUAUUUAGAAAUGUGUUGGAAGUAUCUGUGUCAUUUUUGGAGAAAUGUCUAUUUACAUCUUUUGAACAUUUUUAAUUAGAAAAUUUUUGGCUAUUGUUUCUUAUUUGUUCUGGAUACUAAGUUUUUUUCUUUUUUUUCCUUUUGUUUUGGAGAUGGAGUCUUACUCUGUCACCCAGGCUGGAGUGCAGUGAUGCAACCUUGGCUCACGGCAACCUCUGCUUCCCAGAUCAAACGAUUCUCCUACCUCAGCCUCCUGAGUAGCUGGGAUUACAGGUGUGUGCCACCACACCCA